AAAAGAUGACAGAAAUUUCAUUGAAAUCGUUCUCUGAAAUACAACUGGCCAUAAGAGAAUAUGAAAUUGAUACAAACUCAAAGUUUAGAGUUGUGAAAAAAGACAAAUAUUUUGGAUUAGAGGGAACAGAUUUUUCUGCUGUUAUGAAAAAGAUCUGGUUCAAGGAUCCCCAGCCAGAUGCAGUGCCUAUAAUACCAUCUACUGGUGUACCCUUUAUUGUUGUUGGAAAGAAGUUGUUGGAGUGUCACCAAGGGUUAGAUAGAGACAAGAACCGAAAGAUGAAAAGAAAAAAUGAGAAACAAAGAAAUGAGGACCAUGACUUCAGUAGACAGAGGAGACAAAUUCAACCAACUAAAAAGAAGAACUGUGGAGUUAAAUUGAGGAUAAGGCAUGUUGUUAGAUUUCCUGACUACAAGAAGUUCUAACAGACAUAUGUUAUAGUUAUGACCACUGGAAUAAGUACGACAUAUGAGAAAGAUUUGAUUUCGGUUGAGAUAAAGAAGUUGGUUUUGGACAAGAAGCAAAUCAAUAUGCAGCAUCAAUUCUAUAUAGCUUUUCCAGACCCAACUGAACACCAAAACCAUCUAAGAGGAGAGUCAGCAAGCUUACUACUUGGAAUAGAUGACAGAUUGAAGGAAUACAUCAGGAAAAUGGUAUGGGAAGAAAAUAUCACCAGUGUCCCACAGAUGAGAGUACUACUAGAAGUAUACAUGAAGACAACACUUUUCCAAGGACAGGAUAUUCCCGCCAUCAUUAAUAAGAGAUUUUGGCCAUCAAAUGUAGAUAUCCAGAACCACAUUGCCCUUGCAGUAAAGAAACAAAGAAACAAGGAAAUUG